UACGUAGGGUCCGAGCGUUGUCCGGAAUUACUGGGCGUAAAGCGCGCGCAGGCGGCCCGCGAGGUGUCACGUGAAAGCCCCGGGCUCAACCCGGGAGGGUCGUGGCAAACCGGCGGGCUUGAGGCCGGUAGAGGUGGGUGGAACUCCUGGUGGAGUGGUGAAAUGCGCAGAUAUCAGGAGGAACACCGGUGGCGAAGGCGGGUCUCUGGGCCGAUACUGACGCUGAGGAGCGAAAGUGUGGGGAGCGAACAGG
rnacentral:rRNA from 1 species